AACGCGAAGAACCUUACCAGGUCUUGACAUACUAUGCAAAUCUAAGAGAUUAGACGUUCCCUUCGGGGACAUGGAUACAGGUGGUGCAUGGUUGUCGUCAGCUCGUGUCGUGAGAUGUUGGGUUAAGUCCCGCAACGAGCGCAACCCUUAUUAUCAGUUGCCAGCAUUAAGUUGGGCACUCUGGUGAGACUGCCGGUGACAAACCGGAGGAAGGUGGGGAUGACGUCAAAUCAUCAUGCCCCUUAUGACCUGGGCUACACACGUGCUACAAUGGAUGGUACAACGAGUUGCGAACUCGCGAGAGUAAGCUAAUCUCUUAAAGCCAUUCUCAGUUCGGAUUGUAGGCUGCAACUCGCCUACAUGAAGUCGGAAUCGCUAGUAAUCGCGGAUCAGC
rnacentral:rRNA from 1 species